rnacentral:misc_RNA from 1 species
UAAUGUUUGAUAUGGCGAAAAGAAAUGGAAUUAGCUAUACACUUCAUUAGGUGCAACAAAGCAAACAGCUAGAAUAUCCUUGCUGAGGUCAUAGUAAGGAUACCAACAACAUCUCCAUUUUCAGAUCAAGGAGAUAAAUUACAAAUCUUAAAAAGAAUAAAAUAUGGGGAAAAAGCAAGCAGCCCUUGGGAGACGGUCAAUACACAUAAUUGCAAGCUAUGGGGCACUUCUAACACGGCAGCCAACACCACCAUCUGCCAAACAAACCUUCAAGGCAGCAGCAUUACUACUUAUAAUACAACACCUUAGCACAAGAUUAAAACCCUACUAGCAUCCCAAACUCCUUCCUAUUUCAAGAAAUGAUUUCAGCACGGCAACAAGAGUGGCUAAAAUUGUUUGUUUUUUUCUUUCACCAAUGGCGUCACUCACACUAUUAGCAUGCAACUGAGCAAGUGGCAGGUUUUACUGGAGCCAAGAUAUUAUCCGCUGCAGAUUGGAAACCAGCAGCAUUUUCAAGGCGUUCCCAUGUCAAUCUCCGUUUCUCAGCUUUCAGGCUUAACAUUGAAUCUUCCUCUUCCAACUUAGAUCGGCAGGCAAGCACUAGCUCUUCAUCCAUCUCACAGAACAUCUUCCUAAUGUUCUGUGUUAGAUUGAGAACUGCUUGAUUCCAAUGAUUCUGAGCAUUCCGCUCGAGAGCUGAGAAGACAAGAGGCACAAUCACCUGCCUGUUAUGCACAAUAAGAUUCAGGAUGCGCUCAUUGUUCCACAGUAAGUGAGCUCGUUCAGCCACCUGGUAAUGUGAGCUAUUGAGGCAGCAUCCCAUACGUCGAAAUAGUGGGACCAUGAUCUUCUGAAACUCUUCCAUGGUAGUCAUUUCCAAAAUCUCUUCUAUCUCACUUAUAAACAUUAAUUCCUUCUGGCUGUUUGUCACUGGCCAGUACUUCAGUAGACCCCUAAUCACAGUACUUGCCAACUUUGGAUCUUUAUCUAUAAACUGUACAACACAAUAUGUCAAUUGUUGAUGAUAGACACCCACCGAUUUUGGCUUGUGUAGAGGAAUCAAAGCUCUCCAUAGAAACAACUUGUGUUCCUCUUUCAAUGGCAAGGCAAACCCACUAAUAACACUUCCAAAAAUCUCCAACAGUUCAGCAAUUCCAUUAUGAUGGUCAGUUUCAAAAACAAAAUGAUAGAUGAUGUUGCUAACAGCUUUUCGGAUAAAAGGCCGGUGUACCAUGAAAUUCCCAUAAAUCCUAUGCAGAAUUGUUUUCAAACAGUCUCGUUCUCUUGGGUCCUCAGAAUCAAAGAGGUCAAGUAAUCUCACAAUAAAAGCAUGAUCUAUAUGCUUCUUUGCAGCCUUUGCAUCAACAGAACUUAUAAACCUGAGUAGUAGAUCAUACACACAUUGUAAAUGUGACCAAUAAGGAUCAAACAUUGGUUCUUCAAUAUCUGUUUCCCCACCUGUGUUAUUGGAAAGAUACUUCGGUGGGAAAACCCUAAACAGGUUAAUUGCACACAUCUUACACAUUGCAGCCAUUGCAGCUUCAUUAAACUUUGCAGAUCCGGACGAAACAAAAUCAACAAGCUCCAUCAGUGUUUGGUGUUUAAUAUCUUGCUGAGCUGCAAUUUUAUCUGGAUCAUUGAAAUCAAAAACUUUGCAGCAAAAGUUUAAUUUACUGACAAAAAGGUUUUGCUUCUGUAGAUUUGAAACCUCUUUGAAGGAUAUGUGGGGCUCUACAGCCUCCACCCCAGCCAUGAUGCUUGCAGGAAAGACUGCUGAAGACACCCGUUUGACAACAUUUAAUCGACUUGAAAAAGAAUGUCCUCCGUUUGUACAUGAGACUCCACUGUCCCAAUUGUUAGAAUUGUUUCCAGAAUCAAUCCCAGUGGAAUCGAAUGAAUCAGACUUUGAGGACUUCCUUGGAAUUUUGCUUAGAAUUUGUUUGAGCAUGGUGGCAAUGCAGCAAUUUUCAGCAGAUAUAGACCUACAUCACAGUUAUACAAUUUGAAUUAGUGCAAUUAUCCAGUACAGGGGAAGUUCCAGGAGAGCUCUUUGUGAUAGCCUUUGAUGCAAACAAACAGAAAAAAAAAUUAUGUAAUUUGCUGGUUUCAAAAUUCAUUAUAUUCUUAACAGUAAAGCACAGCUUCAUAUCCUAUUAGUGAAAAUUCCUGAACCAAGAACAUGAAUCAUGCCUACAUUAAUAAUCAGCAAAACGAAGCAACCAGUUUCAAUUAAAUAGGAUACAGUUGAAACCAGACAAAGUUUACCAAUCCCAGGGUUAAGACUAUAAAAACAUCGUGAGGGCAACUGGGCAAGGCAUCAUAAGAAACAAUGAGAUUCAUUAAUUGGAAUUAGCAGCUUGAGAACAUAAAGAAAGUGAAACAUUAAGCAAACUGAUGCAAGAUUUAAGAGUCCCCUUGGCAACUAUUUUUGGGAUGCCAUUUCCUUUGUCAUAGAUUCCAGAUAGCAGGUCUACUAGGCUCAAGUUGUUGGAAAUUUUAAAUGAAGCUUAAUGUUCUUACAACCACCACAGUGAUAAAAGCAGCCUCAUCAACCCAAUAUUACGUAAUUACCUGUCUCUUAAUACCCAAAUUUAGUUGGGGCCAAAUAAAUUAAAUCCAGAACUGUUAUACGCAAUUAGAUUAAUAUAGAGCUAAAAUAUGGGAUCUUUGGUCCAAUGGCCAAAGGCAACUCCAGUAAACAGCAAACCCAGAUCACGGAAGCUAGCAAUCAGCUUGAACCAGAAACAGUCAAAGAGAAACUCACCAAACUAGUAUCUCUAAGCUAAAAAGUUAAACAAGGUCCUUCCAACGGCAAUGAUUUAAAGGAAAGAUAUAAAAAAAAAAAAAAAA